AUGGGAGUGCCGGUCAGUCCGGUCAUUUGGGUUGGAUUUUAGAAACUCGCAACUAUCCUCUGGCAAAGAAGCGCUUGGGCAACCCAGGACCUCCUCUUCGAGCGGGUGCGAUGGAAGGUUGCACCCGUCGAGGAGUUCUAGUGGCUCGGGCUGAUGCUGUUCAUCGCCGUCCCAUUCCCAGGCACCGAAGCAUGGACCGGGGCCAUCAUCUCAUCCAUCCUUGGCAUGCCGUUCUGGUCAGGCUUGUCCGCGAAUUUCGUGGGAGUCGUCCUAGCAGGGUUGCUGGUAAACUUGCUCAGACCUCUUUCAAUGGAUAGUUGCUUAGAUGAGGUGCUAAACGCAUUAAAUAGUUUAUCAACUAUAGUCCCCAAUGCAUUUGUGCUUAAGAGGGUGCUUGGAUACGUUUUAGUCUCAUGA
rnacentral:rRNA from 1 species